AUAACGAAACAGAACUAGAGA
rnacentral:snRNA from 1 species